GCUGUGGGCCAGCCUGAUGAA
rnacentral:misc_RNA from 1 species